rnacentral:lncRNA from 1 species
CUAAACCCUAAACCCUAAACCCUAAACCCUAAACCCUAAACCCUAAACCCUAAACCCUAAACCCUAAACCCUAAACCCUAAACCCUAAACCCUGGCAUUAAUCAAAAAAUGUAAUUUACAUUAACCGGGAUGUGUAAAAAAAAGGGAAAAAGAUUUGUUUAUAUACUAUUACAUAAGAAGGUAAUGUUUUGUGCCGUGUUCAUUUUUGCUUAUAUUACCAACUACACAUUUUUAUUUUUGCAAAACCAAAAAUUAAAUAAAAAAAUAAAAAUAAUAAUUUCUGGUAAACCGACAUGUGGGACCAUCAUAUGAUGGGUGAUAUACUGUACACUUUUUUGUAAUAUAUGGGGUAAAAGGGUCAUAAUGGAGGAUUAUGCAUGGUCGAAAACCCAAACUUUCCUUUUUUGGUAAAUAACGAAACGCACCAAAAACAGACUUUACCAAAUAAGGAAAGAAGGCCGAAAUCCUGCAGCCCAUACCCUGCAGCCCGAAAUCCUAAAGCCCCUAAAGGUCCUAAAAGCCCGAAGCCUGAAAGGUCUUUAAAACGCCCCAAGGCCCCAAGCCCCAAGGCCUUACACCAAAUAAAACUAAUAAAAGUAAGCCCCUGAAGGCCCUAAAGUCCGCAAAACCUGAAAGGCCGUUAAAAGGCCCUAAGCAUGAGCUAGGACUGUGUAAAGUCCACAUAAUUGGGAGUGACUUGGGCUUAUUCUUGGGCUUCUUCCUCUGCCCCAUAUGUAACUUACGUGAAGCCUAUAUGCAUCAAUUUAGAUUUGGGUUAAAUAUGGAUUGGGCUUAUUUGGAGCUUGGUAAGGCCCAUGACUGAUAUCUGGUUUUGAGUCGGCCGCGUAUUUACAUUUUCAUCUUGUUUGGACCCAUAUGAAGGUUUCAUAAACAAAGUAUUGAGAAAAGAGAGUACAAAACAGACAAUCAUACAGAGAAACAUUUAAAAAAUUAAAACAUUGAAAUACAAAAAUGUUAUCAUUGGUUUAGCAUUUAAACACAAUAAUACAGGAAACAUUGGCGGAAAAAAGAAAAAAACAUAUAAGAGAGUACAAAACUAGCCAGGUUAAAGAGUUAAAGAAAAUAACUAAACAACAAAAGAAAACAAAAUUGAGUUAAAAACACAAAGAAAAUUUUAUCUUAUAAAGGAAGAUACCUUGAAUAUUUAGUUUUGUUCUACAAAAUAUUACCCAAAAAAAAAUUACAAGAAUGGAAAGUUUAAUCAAAAGAAUAAAAUUUUUCCAAACAUGAUGAUCUCUGCACACAUGUGAAAUAAAAGGAAGCAGCAAUUGUGGAUAACAAAACAUGAACAACAGCGACCUUAAAUCAUGACAAUGAAAUUGAAACAAAAAAUAAAGAAAAUCAAUUCAAAAUCGUUAAAAAUAGAAUAACAAAACUAGCCAGGAUAACUAAACCCCUAAAACCCUAAGCCCUAAGCCCUAAGCCCUAAACCAUGGCAUUAAUCAGAAAAUGUAAUUUACAUUAACCGGGAUGUGUAAAAAAAGGGAAAAAGAUUUGUUUAUAUACUAUUACAUAAGAAGGUAAUAUUUUGUGCCGUAUUCAUUUUUGCUUAUAUUACCAACUACACAUUUUUAUUUUUGCAAAACCAAAUAUUAAAUAAAAAAAUAAAAAUAAUAAUUUCUGGUAAACCGACAUGGUGGGACCAGCAUAUGAUGGGUGAUAUACUGUACACUUUUUUUGUAAUAUAUAUGGGGUAAAAGGGUAAUAACGGAGGAUUACGCAUGGUCGAAAACCCAAACUUUCCUUUUUUGGUAAAAAACGAAACACACCAAAAACAGACUUUACCAAAUAAGGAAAGAAGGCCGAAAUCCUGCAGCCCAUACCCUGCAGCCCGAAAUCCUAAAGCCCCUAAAGGUCCUAAAAGCCCGAAGCCUGAAAGGUCUUUAAAACGCCCCAAGGCCCCAAGCCCCAAGGCCUUACACCAAAUAAAACUAAUAAAAGUAAGCCCCUGAAGGCCCUAAAGUCCGCAAAGCCUGAAAGGCCUUUAAAAGGCCCUAAGCAUGAGCUAGGACUGUGUAAAGUCCACAUAAUUGGGUGUGACUUGGGCUUAGUCUUGGGCUUCUUCCUCCCCAUAUGUAACUUACGUAAAGCCUAUAUGCAUCAAUUUAGAUUUGGGUUAAAUAUGGAUUGGGCUUGUUUGGAGCUUGGUAAGGCCUAUGACUGAUAUCUGAUUUUGAGUCGGCCUCGUAUUUAAAUUUUCAUCUUGUUUGGGCCCAUAUGAAGGUUUCAUAAACAAAGUAUUGAGAAAAGAGAGUACAAAAUAGACAAUCAUACAGAGAAACAUUUAAAAAAUUAAAACAUUGAAAUACAAAAAUGUUAUCAUUGGUUUAGCAUUUAAACACAAGAACAUAUAAGAGAGUACAAAACUAGCCAAGUUAAAGAGUUAAAGAAAAUAACUAAAUAACAAAAGAAAACAAAAUUGAGUUAAAAACACAAAGAAAAUUUUAUCUUAUAAAGGAAGAUACCUUGAAUAUUUAGUUUUGUUCUACAAAAUGUUACCCAAAAAAAAAUUACAAGAAUGGAAAGUUUAAUCAAAAGAAUAAAAUUUUUUCAAACAUGAUGAUCUCUGCACACAUGUGAAUUAAAAGAAAGCAGCAAUUGUGGAUAACAAAAUAUGAAAAACAGCGACCUUAAAUCAUGACGAUGAAAUUGAAACAAAAAAUAAAGAAAAUCAAUUCAAAAUCGUUAAAAAUAGAAUAACAAAACUAGCCAUGAUAACUAAACCCCUAAAACCCUAUACACAUGUUGAUAAAAAGAAAAGGAAGAUAAAAUUUUUUAAAAAAACAGCGGGUGUUCUCCAUAUAUUUUAUUUUUUAUUACGACAAAUAAAAAGGAAUAAUUUUGUGUGAUUUCUCCAAAUUUAUCUAUUUUUCAUUGCUCAAAAGAAAAAGCCCCUUAACCAAAGAAUAACUUAUCACCAAAAUAAAAAAUAAAAAAAAAGGAAACUUACAGCAUAAUAUUAUGCUCCACAAGUGAAGCUUUCCAUUUGUGCGCUAUUAACGAGACCGCAAUUUAACCUAGACCAGAAAAAAGGCUAACCAGUACUGGGCGUCACCUGAUCCGUUAAUAAAAUUCGGCCUAUUAAGCCCAAAUAUAUACUUUUAAAGCCCAGGUCCCUCUAUGUGUGGGCCGUUCCGGGGGGCCAUUUUCAAUGUACUUUGUAUAUCACAGUACGCUGUAUAGUAUCCUUUGUAUAUAAUAGUGUAUUACACUCCCUCUACAUUGAUUCCUUUUAAAAAAGAAGUGCAGAGAAAUAAAAAUAAUUAAAUGGUCUAUUUGAAAAAUUGUCAAUAGUUGUGGGGGGCUUCACAGAUAAAAAAAAAAUUGCGUGCUAAAAUGGGUCAUCGGCCGAGAGGUUGUGGGGGGCUUCAUAGAUAAAAAAUAAUUUGUGCGCUAAAAUAGGUCAUUGGCCGAGAAGUUGUUGGGUUAUAGAAGAUGGAAGGAGAACCGGUAUUAACUAAAUGGGCCCGCACGUUUUACCAAGUACACUUUUCAUUAAUGGGCGAGAUCAAAUCUAACUCCGAUUCGCCGACCACUUCCAGGCCCAAAUCUUAAACCCUAAACCCUAAAAUCCUAAAACCUAAACCCUAAACCCUAGCAUUCCUCGCUAAGGAUUUUUUUUUAUUAUUGGAUGCUUAGAGAUUUUAAGGUCAAAACUUUAUUGCUUUACAUUUCUAAUUAUUUUUUAAAGUUAAAAAUAAAUAAAUAAACGAAGCGAGGUUAUUUGCUACCGUUCUCUCAAAAAAAAAAAAAGGAAAACAAAAAUAUUAUGUCUUUUCUAAUAAGUAUCACACAUAUUAUUUUGGUAACAGAUAAUUUCAUAUAAAAUAUGCAUCACAUCAAUUGCAUUAAUCAGGAAAUGUAAUUAACCUUAACCGAGAUGUGUAAAAAAUAUGAAAAAAAAUAUGUUUAUGUACUAUUACAUAAGAAGGCAAUAUUUUGUGCCGUGUUCAUUUUUGCUUAUAUUACAAACUACAUAUUUUUAAUCUUACAAAAUCAAAAAAUAAAUAAAUAAAUAAAUAAAAUAAAAAUAAAAAUUUUUGUUAAACC